rnacentral:rRNA from 1 species
UACGUAGGGUGCAAGCGUUGUCCGGAAUUAUUGGGCGUAAAGAGCUCGUAGGCGGUCUGUCGCGUCGGCUGUGAAAACCCGGGGCUCAACCCCGGGCCUGCAGUCGAUACGGGCAGACUAGAGUGUGGUAGGGGAGACUGGAAUUCCUGGUGUAGCGGUGAAAUGCGCCGAUAUCAGGAGGAACACCGGUGGCGAAGGCGGGUCUCUGGGCCAUAACUGACGCUGAGGAGCGAAAGCGUGGGGAGCGAACAGG